ensembl:misc_RNA
GGGGUUGGGAUAUAGAUAUUUGAAACAAACAUGUAUAAAUAAAUGAAUGGUUGAUAACUUAGUAAUUGACCUGGAGACUGGUAGCUUGUUAAAGAAACUCCA